rnacentral:rRNA from 1 species
UGGCGGACGGGUGAGUAACGCGUGGGUAACCUGCCUUGCACUGGGGAUAACACUUAGAAAUAGGUGCUAAUACCGCAUAAGCGCACGGUCCUGCAUGGGACAGUGUGAAAAACUCCGGUGGUGCAAGAUGGACCCGCGUCUGAUUAGCUGGUUGGCGGGGUAAAGGCCCACCAAGGCGACGAUCAGUAGCCGGCCUGAGAGGGUGGACGGCCACAUUGGGACUGAGACACGGCCCAAACUCCUACGGAAGGCAGCAG